UACGGGGGGUGCGAGCGUUGUCCGGAAUCACUGGGCGUAAAGGGCGCGUAGGUGGUUUGAUAAGGGUGUGGUGAAAGUCCGGGGCUCAACCCCGGAUCUGCCGUGCCGACUGUCAAACUCGAGGACUGUAGAGGCAGACGGAAUUCCGGGUGUAGCGGUGGAAUGCGUAGAGAGUCCGGAGGAAGACCGGUGGCGAAGGCGGUCUGCUGGGCAGUUUCUGACACUGAGGCGCGACAGCGUGGGGAGCAAACAGG
rnacentral:rRNA from 1 species